UACGAAGGGGGCUAGCGUUGCUCGGAAUCACUGGGCGUAAAGGGUGCGUAGGCGGGUCUUUAAGUCAGGGGUGAAAUCCUGGAGCUCAACUCCAGAACUGCCUUUGAUACUGAGGAUCUUGAGUUCGGGAGAGGUGAGUGGAACUGCGAGUGUAGAGGUGAAAUUCGUAGAUAUUCGGCGGAACACCGGUGGCGAAGGCGACUCACUGGCCCGAUACUGACGCUGAGGCGCGAAAGCGUGGGGAGCAAACAGG
rnacentral:rRNA from 1 species